rnacentral:rRNA from 1 species
AACGAGCGCUGGCGGCAUGCCUAACACAUGCAAGUCGAACGAGAUCUUCGGGUCUAGUGGCGCACGGGUGCGUAACGCGUGGGAAUCUGCCCUUUGGUUCGGAAUAACAGUUGGAAACGACUGCUAAUACCGGAUGAUGACGAAAGUCCAAAGAUUUAUCGCCAGAGGAUGAGCCCGCGUAGGAUUAGCUAGUUGGUGUGGUAAAGGCGCACCAAGGCGACGAUCCUUAGCUGGUCUGAGAGGAUGAUCAGCCACACUGGGACUGAGACACGGCCCAGACUCCUACGGGAGGCAGCAGUGGGGAAUAUUGGACAAUGGGCGAAAGCCUGAUCCAGCAAUGCCGCGUGAGUGAUGAAGGCCUUAGGGUUGUAAAGCUCUUUUACCCGGGAUGAUAAUGACGGUACCGGGAGGAUAAGCUCCGGCUAACUCCGUGCCAGCCGCCGCAGUAA